rnacentral:rRNA from 1 species
UCGAGCGAACGGACGAGAAGCUUGCUUCUCUGAUGUUAGCGGCGGACGGGUGAGUAACACGUGGAUAACCUACCUAUAAGACUGGGAUAACUUCGGGAAACCGGAGCUAAUACCGGAUAAUAUUUUGAACCGCAUGGUUCAAAAGUAAAAGACGGUCUUGCUGUCACUUAUAGAUGGAUCCGCGCUGCAUUAGCUAGUUGGUAAGGUAACGGCUUACCAAGGCAACGAUGCAUAGCCGACCUGAGAGGGUGAUCGGCCACACUGGAACUGAGACACGGUCCAGACUCCUACGGGAGGCAGCAGUAGGGAAUCUUCCGCAAUGGGCGAAAGCCUGACGGAGCAACGCCGCGUGAGUGAUGAAGGUCUUCGGAUCGUAAAACUCUGUUAUUAGGGAAGAACAUAUGUGUAAGUAACUGUGCACAUCUUGACGGUACCUAAUCAGAAAGCCACGGCUAACUACGUGCCAGCAGCCGCGGUAAUACGUAGGUGGCAAGCGUUAUCCGGAAUUAUUGGGCGUAAAGCGCGCGUAGGCGGUUUUUUAAGUCUGAUGUGAAAGCCCACGGCUCAACCGUGGAGGGUCAUUGGAAACUGGAAAACUUGAGUGCAGAAGAGGAAAGUGGAAUUCCAUGUGUAGCGGUGAAAUGCGCAGAGAUAUGGAGGAACACCAGUGGCGAAGGCGACUUUCUGGUCUGUAACUGACGCUGAUGUGCGAAA